rnacentral:rRNA from 1 species
AGUGAACGCUGGCGGUAGGCCUAACACAUGCAAGUCGAACGGCAGCACAGUAAGAGCUUGCUCUUACGGGUGGUGAGUGGCGGACGGGUAAGGAAUACAUCGGAAUCUACUUUUUCGUGGGGGAUAACGUAGGGAAACUUACGCUAAUACCGCAUACGACCUACGGGUGAAAGCAGGGGAUCUUCGGACCUUGCGCGAUUGAAUGAGCCGAUGUCGGAUUAGCUAGUUGGCGGGGUAAAGGCCCACCAAGGCGACGAUCCGUAGCUGGUCUGAGAGGAUGAUCAGCCACACUGGAACUGAGACACGGUCCAGACUCCUACGGGAGGCAGCAGUGGGGAAUAUUGGACAAUGGGCGCAAGCCUGAUCCAGCCAUACCGCGUGGGUGAAGAAGGCCUUCGGGUUGUAAAGCCCUUUUGUUGGGAAAGAAAAGCAGCAGGUUAAUACCCCGCUGUUCUGACGGUACCCAAAGAAUAAGCACCGGCUAACUUCGUG